CCUACGGGCGGCAGCAGUGAGGAAUAUUGGUCAAUGGGCGCUAGCCUGAACCAGCCAAGUAGCGUGAAGGAUGACUGCCCUAUGGGUUGUAAACUUCUUUUAUAUGGGAAUAAAGUGCAGUAUGUAUACUGCUUUGCAUGUACCUUAUGAAUAAGGAUCGGCUAACUCCGUGCCAGCAGCCGCGAUAAUACGGAGGAUCCGAGCGUUAUCCGGAUUUAUUGGGUUUAAAGGGAGCGUAGGCGGGUUGUUAAGUCAGUUGUGAAAGUUUGCGGCUCAACCGUAAAAUUGCAGUUGAUACUGGCAGCCUUGAGUACAGUAGAGGUAGGCGGAAUGCGUGGUGUAGCGGUGAAAUGCUUAGAUAUCACGAAGAACUCCGAUUGCGAAGGCAGCCUGCUUGACUGUAACUGACGCUGAUGCUCGAAAGUGUGGGUAUCAAACAGGAUUAGAUACCCUUGUAGUC
rnacentral:rRNA from 1 species